rnacentral:rRNA from 1 species
GAUGAACGCUGGCGGCGUGCCUAAUACAUGCAAGUCGAGCGAACAGACGAGGAGCUUGCUCCUCUGACGUUAGCGGCGGACGGGUGAGUAACACGUGGAUAACCUACCUAUAAGACUGGGAUAACUUCGGGAAACCGGAGCUAAUACCGGAUAAUAUAUUGAACCGCAUGGUUCAAUAGUGAAAGACGGUUUUGCUGUCACUUAUAGAUGGAUCCGCGCCGCAUUAGCUAGUUGGUAAGGUAACGGCUUACCAAGGCAACGAUGCGUAGCCGACCUGACAGGGUGAUCGGCCACACGGGAACGGAGACACGGUCCAGACGCCUACGGGAGGCAGCAGUAGGGAAUCCUCCGCAAUGGGCGAAAGCCUGACGGAGCAACGCCGCGUGAGUGAUGAAGGUCUUCGGAUCGUAAAACUCUGUUAUUAGGGAAGAACAAAUGUGUAAGUAACUAUGCACGUCUUGACGGUACCUAAUCAGAAAGCCACGGCUAACUACGUG